rnacentral:rRNA from 1 species
UUAGCCCUUUUCUCGCCACCCAUCUCAUCGCCGGCCCAAGCAGGUAUGCUGCCGUUAGUACCAUGCCCUAGCAGCCGCAUUCAAUCUACAAUUCGUCUUGUGUCAAAAUCGGAGGCAAAUCCUGGCAGGAUUUUCUACAAGUGCCCCAAUCACCAUAUUCCACCAAAUCCUUGCCAACAUUAUUAUUGGGAAGAUGGACCAGACAACUAUUUUGAUUUUUUGGUGAGAGGUGGGUACGUCACCCGUGGAUCGAGCAGUUUUGAUUCGGCUGGUGUCAUUGCAAGUGAAGAAACAGAGGUGCAAGAGGAAUGUGCAGGAGCAAUGCAGAGCACUAUUGAGACUGUGGUGUAUGCAGAAGCAAUGCAGAAGAUGAAUGAGCUCAUUUUUCUCUGUAGGAGUAUUCUCAGUGCA